GCCAGACUCCUACGGGAGGCAGCAGUGAGGAAUAUUGGUCAAUGGCCGAGAGGCUGAACCAGCCAAGUCGCGUGAGGGAAUAAGGCCCUAUGGGUCGUAAACCUCUUUUGUCAGGGAGCAAAGGCGUCCACGAGUGGACGAAAGGAGAGUACCUGAAGAAAAAGCAUCGGCUAACUCCGUGCCAGCAGCCGCGGUAAUACGGAGGAUGCGAGCGUUAUCCGGAUUUAUUGGGUUUAAAGGGUGCGUAGGCGGAAUGCCAAGUCAGGGGUAAAAUCGCGGGGCUCAACCUCGCUCCGCCGUUGAAACUGGCGUUCUUGAGUGGGCGAGAAGUAUGCGGAAUGCGUGGUGUAGCGGUGAAAUGCAUAGAUAUCACGCAGAACUCCGAUUGCGAAGGCAGCAUACCGGCGCGCAACUGACGCUCAUGCACGAAAGCGUGGGUAUCGAACAGGAUUAGAUACCCCGGUA
rnacentral:rRNA from 1 species